UGUAAGAUGGCGCUGAAGAAGAAGGCAGACUUUCACAUGCCCCCAGCCGAUUGUGUUGGUUUUUCUAGUUUAUUUGCGUUGUUUGUAACUUAUUUUUUAAACCUAAUUUGUACAUAAAUAUUGUCGCUACCGUCUCUUGUGACCGAAAAUAACUUAUAGACAUCAGGAUUGCAAUUACUCACAAAGGACUAGCAAAAACCUUUUUUUCCCUUUCAUGACUCUGACGAGCCCGUUGCGAAGGAUAUACUGCUUCCUUGGGAACAGGCCCAGAUCCCCGUUAUCUGUGUGAAAAGGAUGCAGAGAAAGAGGGGCCGAAGGGCUGGCUGCUUUCUGAGAAUUUGUAGGUGAUCGAAUAAACCCUUUACUUCCCUCCAUUCUGCUAGCAAAUGUGCAAUCCUUGGAGAAUAAAAUCGGCAAGUUACGCGUAAGAUUAAACUACCAACGGGACAUUAAAAACUGUAAUAUCUUAUGCUUCACAGAGUCGUGGCUGAACGACGACAAUAUCAACAUACAGCUGGCUGGUUAUACGAUGUACCGGCAGGAUAGAACAGCGGCGUCUGAACCCCAUGGGCAGUGGCACAAGAGGAAUCAAAGAAACACAAGACUUGCUGGCAAUCGCCAGGUAGGCGGACAUCAUCGCUGCUAUCACCCUGGAAGUGCUCAAGGGGACCUCGAAGGCCUUCGACAGCGAUAUCCACGCCCUGUGGUGCCAUCCAGGACAGAUAGAAAUGGCCAAGAGGUUCCGCACCCUACUGGACUCAGACCACCACCCCUCAGAGAUCACAGAAAGCCAUCGGUUCUGGAGUCCAGGAUGCCUACACUACACUCCUCAGGUGACUUAACAUGGGGUCAGAGUUCAACCAAUGGAAAUAUAAUGACUCGAAUGGAUAUAUCCCAUUUUAUUUCAAUGGUUCAACCAUUCUCACUCAACCUCGUCUGAAUUAUCUUCUUGCAUCCCAGGUCCACGAUAUUGUCAACAACACAAUAGACUUUGCCCAGAAAAGUAUCAAUACAGAGAUCAACAGUGCCUCUGCCAACCCUGUGCCCUUCGCUGUGUGUGUGAGCUAUUCACCAACUAUUCCCCAAACCAAAUUUGACAAUUCUUACCUUCAGUGCUAGUUUUAACCCUCAUGUCUGAAUCAAAUAGUGUUUGCAGAGAGAGGGGAGACCAUCUCUGGAGGGAACUUCCUUCCUUUACCCGGGAAAAGGGCAUCAAAGGAUUCUGGUGGACCUAGUUCUGAGUUUUUCUGCAUUUUAAAACGAAGUGAGACGAUAGAGGACAUACAGUUGAAGUUGGAAGUUUACAUACACUUAGGUUGGAGUAAUUAAAACCCGUUUUUCAACCACUCCACAAAUUUCUUGUUAACAAACUAUAGUUUUGGCAAGUCGGUUAGGACAUCUACUUUGUGCAUGACACAAGUAAUUUUUCCAACAAUUGUUUACAGACAGAUUAUUUAAUUUAUAAUUCACUGUAUCACAAUUCCAGUGGGUCAGAAGAUUACAUACAAAGUCUGUGCCUUUAAACAGCUUGGAAAAUUCCAGAAAAUGAUGUCAUGACUUUAGAAGCUUCUGAUAUGCUAAUUGACAUAAUUUGAGUCAAUUGGAGGUGUAACUGUGGAUUUAUUUCAAGGCCUACCUUCAAACUCAGUGCCUCUUUGCAUGACAUCAUGGGAAAAUCAAAAGAAAUCAGCCAACAAAUUGUAGACCUCCACAAGUCUGGUUCAUCCUUGGGAGCAAUUUCCAAAUGCCUGAAGGUACCCUGUUCAUCUGUACAAACAAUAGUAUGCAAGUAUAAACACCAUGGGACCAUGCAGCCAUCAUACCGCUCAGGAAAGAGAUGCGUUCUGUCUCCUAGAGAUGAACGUACUUUGGUGCGAAAAGUGCAAAUCAAUCCCAGAACAAUACACGGGGGAAGAUGGCCGACACCUGGAGGGGGUGGAGACAAGCACAAAGACAGGUGAAACAAAUCAGGGUGUGCCAUAUACAAGCAGCAAAAAUAAGGACAUAUUUUAAUUGGUUCUAGUCUGGGCUGGGGCAUGCCUGCACAAGGUUUCAAUUAAGCAAAAAUCGCUGAAGUUGGAGACUUUUAUCUCCCUCACCAAAUUCAAACAUCUGCUAUCUGAGCAGCUAACCGAUCGCUGCCGCUGUACAUAGUCUAUCGGUAAAUAGCCCACCCAUUUUUACCUACCUCAUCCCCAUACUGUUUUUAUUUAUUUUAUUUUCUGCUCUUUUGUACACCAAUAUCUCUACCUGUACAUGGCCAUCUGAUCAUUUAUCACUCCAGUGUUAAUCUGCAAAAUUGUAAUUAUUCACCUACCUCCUCAUGCCUUUUGCACACAAUGUAUAUAGACUCUCCUUUUUUUCUACUGUAUUAUUGACUUGUUAAUUGUUUACUCCAUUGUGUAACUCUGUGUUGUCUGUUCACACUGCUAUGCUUUAUCUUGGCCAGGUCGCAGUUGCAAAUGAGAACUUGUUCUCAACUAGCCUACCUGGUUAAAUAAAGGUGAAAUAAAAAAAUAAAGAAAGAAAACGGUUGAAUAGUUUCCCCGCCACGAGCUUUCUUGCUAUGGAGCUGCUAGCUGCCUGCCACGGCAUCGAGUUCUUCCACCCCCUGCUUACCACAACACCAUUGGAGAAGGUCUAUGACCUGGUACGCAGUGUAACCAAAGCCCUGGAUCAAGGAUAGGUUCAUGUCACCAGACAUCGAUGCUGUCCAUUAUCUUCUUCUAGACCAGAAGGCAAGUGUGUGGUCAUUAUAGAUGUCACUCUGAGCCUAUAUUUAUUCAAUAAAUAUAAAGACGGUCAUUUAGCAGAACGCUUUUAACCAGGUUUGUGUAUUUGAUGUCAUUUUCCAGGUGUGGAACGUGGCACAGCCAUAUAUUGAGAGUUACAGUAUAAACUGAGUGGUUCAAGCCCUGAAUGCUAAUUGCCUGAAAGCCGUGGUAUACAUUUAUGUUUACUGCUCUAAUCAUGUUGGUAACCAGUUUAUAAAAGCAAUAAGGCACCUCAGGGGUUUGUGAUAUAUGGACAAUAUACCACGGCUAAGGGCUGUGUCCUAGCACUCCGCGUUGUGUUGUGCAUAAGAACAGCCAUUAGCCGUGUUAUAUUGGCCCUUUACCACACCCCCUCGGUGUAAGGGUUUUUUCUUCUGGUGAAAGAGAGGCGGACCAAAAUGCAGAGUGGUGGUUAUUCAUGUUUUUAAUAAAGACGACUAUACAUGAACAGACUAAACAAAACAAGAAAAGUGAAAACCUAAACAGUCCUAUCUGGUGCAAACACAGAGACAGGAACUAUCACCCACCAACACACAGUGAAACCCAGGCUACCUAAGUAUGAUUCUCAAUCAGAGACAACUAAUGACACCUGCCUCUGAUUGAGAACCAUACUAGGCAGAAACAUAGAAAUACCCAAAACCUAGAAAAACAAACAGACUGCCCACCCAACUCACGCCCUGACCAUA